rnacentral:lncRNA from 1 species
AAGGGGGCUUUUUCUUUCUUUCGCUCUUUCUUCUCGCAGGGAGGAAAGUUGCUUCGCACAAGAACAUGUUGUCAAGGAAAUAAACCUUAGCGAGGGUAGGCAUUAAACACACAGCUGCUGGACUUGGCCGGGCCUUAGACACUGGUGGUAAUGACAAUGAUGCUUAGUGGCAGCAAACCAGAUCCAAACAUAAAUAGGGCUGCAUGAAAGGAGAGGAAAUGGAACAAAACGGUUCCUCGGGUACCACUGGCAGAGGAAUAACAUCAAUUUCGAUUAAAAAGCGAAAGAAUUCUCCUGUUUCCACACAUUAGUAAAGGCAUGCAAAUUCAUAACUCACCAACAAUGUACCUUUGAAAUGCAGCUGCACCCCACAAACGGGGCCUUUCUGCGUGCAGAGAAGCAGCCCUGUUUUAAGCAGAAAGAAAACAACUAUUGAAAAAGCCACAAGAGUCCGUGGCAGCAAGGAGGGGCGCCGGGAGAGGUGGAGGAAACGUGUUGGGUCUGGCAGAUGCGAGACACCGGCGUUUUCCAUAGAAAGGAGCCUUCAUUUCUGGUCGUCCCCCAAAGAAGUGGUUCUUCCUGGGAUCCUCCAGCAGCGUUCUUGUUGGGUGCACAACGCCGUUUUGAUAUCUCCACCUGCUGGAGAAAUCCCAGCACGCACAAAGGAGCCGGCCUCUGCCUUCUGAAAAAUACCCAUCUCCUCCGCACCAGGACAGCACAGCCUCCUUUCCUCCUCCUCCUCCUCCUCCUCUGGGUCAGGAAGAAAGCACAGGGCACGAUGUUCGUCCUGCCAGUGACACUUGCAGACGUUUUCAUCUGCACAGAAAUGGAGCCUGUCCACAAAUACCUAUGAAGUCCAGUGGUGCUCCAAGUAUGUAGUUCCUCCAAAAACCUCUACAUUUUAUUUAGAGAAGUGACAUUAAUAUCAAAGCCCAGCUUAAAGUGCAAAGUGAGUAUUUCAAUUCUGCCAGAGCAUAAUUAACCCUUCUAAGGCCCCAAACUUACUGUUACUCUUGGUGAGGUGGAGACCUUUAAGGACACCUAACUAAGGGUAGAUGUCUUUAAAACAAAAAACCAUCACUUAAAGUAAAACAGAGAUUUCCUAGGGUGAUGGCUGGAGACUGAGUUCAACAGAUGUCAUCAGACAAAAGGCCUUAAUGGGAGGUGCCUUUUUUCCUCCAGACAACAUGUCCUCCCAUUAGGCUUCUGAAAGCCCACUGUGAUCUUUGUUGUGUUCUACCCUAUGUGAGUGUGAUGGACACCGAGUGGACGACCUUUCCUCUCGCUCCUAAAAGGUGGGAGGGCUGU